UCAGGAAUAGUGACUAAAAGGGGAGGAGAUGGGGCAGUGAUCUGCAGAGGAGUGAGAUCAAGACAGGUUUAAACGAAAUAAGAAGUGGGAACUUUCACAUGUUCAGAGGCUCAGAGAAGAAUCUACAAGGCAGGCAGAAAAUGGAGUUUCAGAAGGCUUCAGGACAGCUGAGGACUCCAAGCCUAGAUGCAGAAGCGGCCAGACACAGAAGAGAUUUGCCAAAAUGUAAAAUAAUGCCACUCUUUUCAGUUAUUCUUUGGAAAAUAGUGUCCAUUAAAAUGUUUGUUGUGUCUCUG